GAGAAGAAGUGAGAAACCGAACCAUUACUCCAAAUUUCUCGACCCCUAAUAUUAAACAAUUCUUUGUUUUAUGAGAUGAUGAAUACGUCUCAGUUUAUGGACAAGCAGGUAAUGGAUUUGACAUCUUCUUCAACCUCAAAUCAAUCGCCGUCGCCUUCUUCCCCCAAGCAAACCCCUACCACAACCACCGCCGGCAGAGAUUUUAUUGAUCUGAUGAAUCCU
rnacentral:misc_RNA from 1 species